ACUCCUACGGGAGGCAGCAGUGGGGAAUAUUGCACAAUGGGCGCAAGCCUGAUGCAGCCAUGCCGCGUGUAUGAAGAAGGCCUUCGGGUUGUAAAGUACUUUCAGUCGUGAGGAAGGCGGCGUCGUUAAUAGCGGCGUUGUUUGACGUUAGCGACAGAAGAAGCACCGGCUAACUCCGUGCCAGCAGCCGCGGUAAUACGGAGGGUGCGAGCGUUAAUCGGAAUUACUGGGCGUAAAGCGCAUGCAGGUGGUUUGUUAAGUCAGAUGUGAAAGCCCGGGGCUCAACCUCGGAAUUGCAUUUGAAACUGGCAGACUAGAGUACUGUAGAGGGGGUAGAAUUCAGGUGUAGCGGUGAAAUGCGUAGAGAUCUGAAGGAAUACCGGUGGCGAAGGCGGCCCCCUGGACAGAUACUGACACUCAGAUGCGAAAGCGUGGGAGCAAACAGGAUUAGAUACCCCGUGGUAGGACAGUG
rnacentral:rRNA from 1 species